rnacentral:rRNA from 1 species
GACGAACGCUGGCGGCGUGCUUAACACAUGCAAGUCGAACGGAAAGGCCCUGCUUGCAGGGUACUCGAGUGGCGAACGGGUGAGUAACACGUGGGUGAUCUGCCCUGCACUUCGGGAUAAGCCUGGGAAACUGGGUCUAAUACCGGAUAGGAGCCAUUUUUAGUGUGAUGGUUGGAAAGUUUUUUCGGUGUAGGAUGAGCUCGCGGCCUAUCAGCUUGUUGGUGGGGUAAUGGCCUACCAAGGCGGCGACGGGUAGCCGGCCUGAGAGGGUGGACGGCCACAUUGGGACUGAGAGACGGCCCAGACUCCGACGGGAGGCAGCAGUGGGGAAUAUUGCACAAGGGGCGCAAGCCUGAUGCAGCGACGCCGCGUGGGGGAUGACGGCCUUCGGGUUGUAAACUCCUUUCGCUAGGGACGAAGCUUUUUGUGACGGUACCUAGAUAAGAAGCACCGGCUAACUACGUG